rnacentral:rRNA from 1 species
GAUGGACGCUGGCGGCGUGCCUAAUACAUGCAAGUCGAGCGAACGGACGAGAAGCUUGCUUCUCUGAUGUUAGCGGCGGACGGGUGAGUAACACGUGGAUAACCUACCUAUAAGACUGGGAUAACUUCGGGAAACCGGAGCUAAUACCGGAUAAUAUUUUGAACCGCAUGGUUCAAAAGUGAAAGACGGUCUUGCUGUCACUUAUAGAUGGAUCCGCGCUGCAUUAGCUAGUUGGUAAGGUAACGGCUUACCAAGGCAACGAUGCAUAGCCGACCUGAGAGGGUGAUCGGCCACACUGGAACUGAGACACGGUCCAGACUCCUACGGGAGGCAGCAGUAGGGAAUCUUCCGCAAAGGGCGAAAGCCUGACGGAGCAACGCCGCGUGAGUGAUGAAGGUCUUCGGAUCGUAAAACUCUGUUAUUAGGGAAGAACAUAUGUGUAAGUAACUGUGCACAUCUUGACGGUACCUAAUCAGAAAGCCACGGCUAACUACGUG